CCUACGGGAGGCAGCAGUGGGGAAUAUUGGGCAAUGGGCGCAAGCCUGACCCAGCAACGCCGCGUGAAGGAAGAAGGCCCUCGGGUUGUAAACUUCUUUUGUCAGGGACGCAACAAAUGACGGUACCUGACGAAUAAGCCACGGCUAACUACGUGCCAGCAGCCGCGGUAAUACGUAGGUGGCAAGCGUUAUUCGGAUUUACUGGGAGUAAAGGGCGUGGAGGCGGGAGAGCAAGUCAGAUGUGAAAUUCCAGGGCUCAACCCUGGAACUGCAUUUGAUACUGUUGUUCUUGAGUGAUGGAGAGGCAGGCGGAAUUCCGGGGGUAGCGGUGAAAUGCGUAGAUAUACGGAGGAACACCAGUGGCGAAGGCGGCCUGCUGGACAUUAACUGACGCUGAGGCGCGAAAGCGUGGGGAGCAAACAGGAUUAGAUACCCGAGUAGUC
rnacentral:rRNA from 1 species